UGGGGAAUAUUGCGCAAUGGGGGAAACCCUGACGCAGCAACGCCGCGUGAGUGAUGAAGGCUUUCGGGUCGUAAAACUCUGUCGUCGGGGACGAUAAUGACGGUACCCGAGGAGGAAGCCCCGGCUAACUACGUGCCAGCAGCCGCGGUAAUACGUAGGGGGCAAGCGUUGUCCGGAAUCACUGGGCGUAAAGGGCGCGUAGGCGGUUUGUUAAGUCAGGUGUGAAAGUUUUCAGCUUAACUGGAGAAGUGCACUUGAAACUAACUUACUUGAGUACUGGAGAGGUAAGCGGAAUUCCCAGUGUAGCGGUGAAAUUCGUAGAUAUUAGGAAGAACACCGGUGGCGAAGGCGGCUUACUGGACAGAGACUGACGCUGAGGCGCGAAAGCGUGGGGAGCGAACA
rnacentral:rRNA from 1 species